GAUGAACGCUGGCGGCGUGCCUAAUACAUGCAAGUCGAGCGAACAGACGAGGAGCUUGCUCCUCUGCCGUUAGCGGCGGACGGGUGAGUAACACGUGGAUAACCUACCUAUAAGACUGGGAUAACUUCGGGAAACCGGAGCUAAUACCGGAUAAUAUAUUGAACCGCAUGGUUCAAUAGUGAAAGACGGUUUUGCUGUCACUUAUAGCUGGAUCCGCGCCGCAUUAGCUAGUUGGUAAGGUAACGGCUUACCAAGGCAACGAUGCGUAGCCGACCUGAGAGGGUGAUCGGCCACACUGGAACUGAGACACGGUCCAGACUCCUACGGGAGGCAGCAGUAGGGAAUCUUCCGCAAUGGGCGAAAGCCUGACGGAGCAACGCCGCGUGAGUGAUGAAGGUCUUCGGAUCGUAAAACUCUGUUAUUAGGGAAGAACAAAUGUGUAAGUAACUAUGCACGUCUUGACGGUACCUAAUCAGAAAGCCACGGCUAACUACGUG
rnacentral:rRNA from 1 species